rnacentral:rRNA from 1 species
AGCGAACGCUGGCGGCAGGCUUAACACAUGCAAGUCGAGCGGGCCCUUCGGGUCAGCGGCGGACGGGUGAGUAACGCGUGGGAACGUGCCUUCUGGUCUGGAAUAACCCUGGGAAACUAGGGCUAAUACCGGAUACGCCCUUUUGGGGAAAGAUUUAUCGCCGAAAGAUUGGCCCGCGUCUGAUUAGCUAGUUGGUGAGGUAACGGCUCACCAAGGCGACGAUCAGUAGCUGGUCUGAGAGGAUGAUCAGCCACAUUGGGACUGAGACACGGCCCAAACUCCUACGGGAGGCAGCAGUGGGGAAUAUUGGACAAUGGGCGCAAGCCUGAUCCAGCCAUGCCGCGUGAGUGAUGAAGGCCCUAGGGUUGUAAAGCUCUUUUGUGCGGGAAGAUAAUGACGGUACCGCAAGAAUAAGCCCCGGCUAACUUCGUGCCAGCCGCCGCCGU